UACAGAGGGGGCGAGCGUUGUUCGGAAUUACUGGGCGUAAAGGGCUCGUAGGCGGCCAACUAAGUCAUACGUGAAAUCCCUCGGCUUAACCGGGGAACUGCGUCUGAUACUGGAUGGCUUGAGAUUGGGAGAGGGAUGCGGAAUUCCAGGUGUAGCGGUGAAAUGCGUAGAUAUCUGGAGGAACACCGGUGGCGAAGGCGGCAUCCUGGACCAACACUGACGCUGAGGAGCGAAAGCAUGGGGAGCGAACAGG
rnacentral:rRNA from 1 species